AUAGAUCUAUUAUCAAGUUAGUUAUCCGCACUUGAAACCCUAGAAGCUCUAUUCUUCUGAUAUAACCCAAAAAUUGAUGGCCGAUGGCAGCUCAAUGUGAUUUGAAACUGUAGCAGUUCGAUAUUUGUCGGAAUAAUACUUGUCGGUAUCCGUCAGAUUGUAGAUUGCUUUUUGGUUGGUCCAUCGUUUGCUGGACAUACUGCUGUAUUUAAUCCAUAAGGUACCCCUGCACCACAUCCGUAUUUUCAUCCAAAUAGACCUCAGGUUCUUCAUUAUCUUGAUUAUUUCUCUUUGUACGUGCUGGUUGUUUUGCCUGUAAUGUUGGAGAGAUUUGGUCAAUGCACUAUUCAUUCUGCCUGUUAUAUUAAAGUGGAUUGCAUAAUGCUUAAAAUUUCUCCCUUUGGUUUCAGUAUGGACAUCAGAUGAUGAUUGGUCACCCUCAGCAAGUUGUCUACAUGCCAACUUAUCCCCCUAUAAGAAACUUUUCUUGGCAUUUUGCCUUUUACUUUUUCAGUGUUACUCAGUUACAAUCUUCUGAUGAUUUUAGUAGCUCUCAUUGUGAUAAAGUCAAUUUCGCUGUCUUGCUUGAUAAUUUAUUAAUGAUCACAAUGGUCCUCAUCAAAAACCAAGUAACGCUAAAUAGUAAUUUUACACAAAAAUACAACAACAAUAAUGACUAUGCCGUAAUACCGAGCAAGUUGUGUCGGCUUUAUGAAUCCGUACUAUCCUUGUCACUCCAUUUAUGUUUGUCUCAAUCCAAUUUGAUAAAACAAAAUUAGUUCUUGUAGAACUAGAUAUUCCCUACUUUUUGCAAAUAAGUAUCUGACAAGAUCAAAACUCCUAGCGAAUGUAGGUUCUAAAGUAGUAAAGUGUUAAAACUUAAUUAGCUGCUGUCUCCUAUUGAGAUUUUUUUUUCCCAUCCUUCAGGCUAUUAUAGAUACAUUUGGAGGGGUGAAAACUGUCAAGUAGAGUUUCAGUAAUGUAGUAGAAGUAUGUUUUCUAAUAUGAAGUCACGUGAUUCAUUUGUUUAGUUCUCUGAGUGUUGACAUCACUUACAAGAAAAUCUUGUGUACCCUGUUGAUCACACUCGUCUGCCAAUUAAUAUAUAAUUGGUUAAGCAUGUCUCAAUGUUUUAUGUAUUUUUAAGGGUACAUCAUCCAUUGGUUAGCUUUACAUUGGCUAUCAACCUACCACAACUUCCCUUUUUUAUCCAGAGUCAAAGUAUGCAAUAUAAGCAAAGCUCACACAUGCCAUGUGAUUAGACCUUUUUCCAUUUAUAUGAUGAACUUUUUAUUUAUAUUAGGAGAAUAUAUGGAUACUAUAAUUACAAAAUACUAGCUUUAGAUAACUUUAUUUAUCUAUCUUGAUGCCAACAGGAGUUGCCGUACAAGGAAGAGGAGAGUACUGACCAGUUGUCGCUCACCUGCAUUGCUUGGUGGAUGUACCCUUUGCUGAUAUGGGAAACAAAUUUGUGACAAUACAUUGUUUGGAUCAUUUAUUGGUGCAUAAAGUCUUGAUAUAAUAGCUGCAAUUUGCACCUGCUGGCUGAAAUGGUUCUGUUAGCACCCUUGUAUAAUAGCGAAUCAGUUAUCCUGCUUUUCUUUAUCAUAGGAAAUGUUCGGCGAUUUAGGUGACCUAUUGUAUACAAUUACAGGUUUUGAUUCCUUCUCCGUGCAGCCUGCUGGUGCUGCUGGAUAAUACGCUGGUUUAUGCAUAUCAUAUGGUACCCGUUGUAAUCUAAAUGAAUAGUUUGCUUGCAGAUUUGAUUUAAGCUCUUUUAAUACCUAGCUUAUACUUAGAGACUAAGUAAUGAACUUAAUUAAGAUUGUAUUUGUGAAAUGUUUAAAAAGCCAAAUUGGUGGGAAAAUAUUGCACAUGCUUUUACUAUUUUCAGCUAUUAAAUACCAAUCCCUUUUACUACUCCCUUAUACCGAAAAUAACUUUUCCCUUUUACUUGUCCAUUUUAGCAAAACAAGAGAGAUAUAUUAUCUUCCUCCAAUAUUACCCUCAUUAUUAAGUAACUACAUAAAGUUUGAUAGUCAAAUUUAGAUUUUCAAAGCAUAGUUAAUAUGGUUAACUUAGUAAAACAAAUCCUUUAAUAAAUGAUUCCUUAACGGGAGUGUCAAGUCCAUAGAGAAGUAGUAAAAAGGAAUGGAGGGAGACUUCGGGAAAAUCACCUGAUGAAACCCCAUUCUCUGUGAAGAUGUUUACUUUAAUCUAGUUACUACUUGACUUCUAUUAUCCUUCACGGAUUUGUAGAAGGCUAUAGAGUUUAAUCUUCCAAGAACGCUUGAUUAUUAUAAUGGGAUGCUAAUGGCCAUAGGAUUAUAAUUUUUCCUUUUAAUUAUCAAAUU